GAGCUUUGUCACCCCACUGUAGUCCGUAAUGGACUGGCCUGAAGUCUCGCUACAAACAAGCGGCUGCUGGAAGAGAGUAGGUGAGUUGUGUUUAGUCUCUUUGCUAAAGAAAUUAGUCAAAGUUAAAAAGAUGUUUGGUGGCUAGUACUAUGGCUGUGACCCUAUAUGUCCUGUUGAUGAAGUUAGGUGCUGUUCUGAGCAUUAUUUGUGGCUAUAGAGUGGCGUUUUGGUUGAAGUUUGUUUAUGGCUCCUCAGACCUCUGUGUAUUGCUAUCAUGCGGUCGUUACUAAAGUUGGUAUA